AGAGCGAACGCUGGCGGCAUGCUUAACACAUGCAAGUCGCACGGGCAGGGGAAACCCUGUCAGUGGCGGACGGGUGAGUAACGCGUAGGUAUCUAUCCUUGGGUGGGGGAUAACGGUUGGAAACGACUGCUAAUACCGCAUUAUAACUGAGGUUUAAAGGCGCAAGUCGCCUGGGGAGGAGCCUGCGUACGAUUAGCUUGUUGGUGGGGUAAAGGCCUACCAAGGCGACGAUCGUUAGCUGGUCUGAGAGGAUGAUCAGCCACAUUGGGACUGAGACACGGCCCAAACUCCUACGGGAGGCAGCAGUGGGGAAUAUUGGACAAUGGGCGAAAGCCUGAUCCAGCAAUGCCGCGUGUGUGAAGAAGGUCUUCGGAUUGUAAAGCACUUUCGACAGGGACGAUGAUGACGGUACCUGUAGAAGAAGCCCGGCUAACUCGCGCCAGCAGCCGC
rnacentral:rRNA from 1 species